rnacentral:rRNA from 1 species
AGUGAACGCUGGCGGUAGGCCUAACACAUGCAAGUCGAACGGCAGCACAGGAGAGCUUGCUCUCUGGGUGGCGAGUGGCGGACGGGUGAGGAAUACAUCGGAAUCUACUCUGUCGUGGGGGAUAACGUAGGGAAACUUACGCUAAUACCGCAUACGACCUACGGGUGAAAGCAGGGGACCUUCGGGCCUUGCGCGAUUGAAUGAGCCGAUGUCGGAUUAGCUAGUUGGCGGGGUAAAGGCCCACCAAGGCGACGAUCCGUAGCUGGUCUGAGAGGAUGAGCAGCCACACGGGAACUGAGACACGGUCCAGACUCCUACGGGAGGCAGCAGUGGGGAAUAUUGGACAAUGGGCGCAAGCCUGAUCCAGCCAUACCGCGUGGGUGAAGAAGGCCUUCGGGUUGUAAAGCCCUUUUGUUGGAAAGAAAUCCAGCUGGCUAAUACCCGGUUGGGAUGACGGUACCCAAAGAGUAAGCACCGGCUAACUUCGUGCCAGCCGCCGCCGUAA